rnacentral:rRNA from 1 species
UAGAAUUUAAAUCUGGGAAUUAUUGGGCGUAAGAGCUCGUAGGCGGUUUGUCGCGUCUGCUGUGAAAGCCCGGGGCUCAACCCCGGGUCUGCAGUGGGUACGGGCAGACUAGAGUGCAGUAGGGGAGACUGGAAUUCCUGGUGUAGCGGUGAAAUGCGCAGAUAUCAGGAGGAACACCGAUGGCGAAGGCAGGUCUCUGGGCUGUUACUGACGCUGAGGAGCGAAAGCAUGGGGAGCGAACAGGAUUAGAUACCCUGGUAGUCCAUGCCGUAAACGUUGGGCACUAGGUGUGGGGGACAUUCCACGUUCUCCGCGCCGUAGCUAACGCAUUAAGUGCCCCGCCUGGGGAGUACGGCCGCAAGGCUAAAACUCAAAGGAAUUGACGGGGGCCCGCACAAGCGGCGGAGCAUGCGGAUUAAUUCGAUGCAACGCGAAGAACCUUACCAAGGCUUGACAUCCACCGGACCGCACUGGAGACAGUGCUUCCCUUCGGGGCUGGUGGACAGGUGGUGCAUGGUUGUCGUCAGCUCGUGUCGUGAGAUGUUGGGUUAAGUCCCGCAACGAGCGCAACCCUCGUUCUAUGUUGCCAGCACGUGAUGGUGGGGACUCAUAGGAGACUGCCGGGGUCAACUCGGAGGAAGGUGGGGAUGACGUCAAUCAUCAUGCCCCUUAUGUCUUGGGCUUCACGCAUGCUACAAUGGCCGGUACAAAAGGGUUGCGAUACUGUGAGGUGGAGCUAAUCCCAAAAAAGCCGUCUCAGUUCGGAUUGAGGUCUGCAACUCGACCUCAUGAAGUCCGGAGUCGCUAGUAAUCGCAAAUCAGCAACGCUGCGGUGA